rnacentral:rRNA from 1 species
AUUGAACGCUGGCGGAAUGCUUUACACAUGCAAGUCGAACGGUAGAGGGGGCAACCCUCGAGAGUGGCGAACGGGUGAGUAAUAUAUCGGAACGUGCCCAGUCGUGGGGGAUAACGUAGCGAAAGUUACGCUAAUACCGCAUACGAUCUACGGAUGAAAGCGGGGGAUCGCAAGACCUCGCGCGAUUGGAGCGGCCGAUAUCAGAUUAGGUAGUUGGUGGGGUAAAGGCUCACCAAGCCAACGAUCUGUAGCUGGUCUGAGAGGACGACCAGCCACACUGGAACUGAGACACGGUCCAGACUCCUACGGGAGGCAGCAGUGGGGAAUUUUGGACAAUGGACGCAAGUCUGAUCCAGCCAUUCCGCGUGCAGGAUGAAGGCCCUCGGGUUGUAAACUGCUUUUAUAUGUGACGAAUAUGACGGUAGCAUAUGAAUAAGGAUCGGCUAACUCCGUG